GUGGUUUGUCGCGUUGUUCGUGAAAUCUCACGGCUUAACUGUGAGCGUGCGGGCGAUACGGGCAGACUUGAGUACUGCAGGGGAGACUGGAAUUCCUGGUGUAGCGGUGGAAUGCGCAGAUAUCAGGAGGAACACCGGUGGCGAAGGCGGGUCUCUGGGCAGUAACUGACGCUGAGGAGCGAAAGCGUGGGGAGCGAACAGGAUUAGAUACCCUGGUAGUCCACGCCGUAAACGGUGGGUACUAGGUGUGGGUUUCCUUCCUUGGGAUCCGUGCCGUAGCUAACGCAUUAAGUACCCCGCCUGGGGAGUACGGCCGCAAGGCUAAAACUCAAAGAAAUUGACGGGGGCCCGCACAAGCGGCGGAGCAUGUGGAUUAAUUCGAUGCAACGCGAAGAACCUUACCUGGGUUUGACAUGCACAGGACGCCGGCAGAGAUGUCGGUUCCCUUGUGGCCUGUGUGCAGGUGGUGCAUGGCUGUCGUCAGCUCGUGUCGUGAGAUGUUGGGUUAAGUCCCGCAACGAGCGCAACCCUUGUCUCAUGUUGCCAGCGGGUAAUGCCGGGGACUCGUGAGAGACUGCCGGGGUCAACUCGGAGGAAGGUGGGGAUGACGUCAAGUCAUCAUGCCCCUUAUGUCCAGGGCUUCACACAUGCUACAAUGGCCGGUACAAAGGGCUGCGAUGCCGCGAGGUUAAGCGAAUCCUUUUAAAGCCGGUCUCAGUUCGGAUCGGGGUCUGCAACUCGACCCCGUGAAGUCGGAGUCGCUAGU
rnacentral:rRNA from 1 species